rnacentral:rRNA from 1 species
UCUACGGUAGGCAGCAGUGAGGAAUAUUGGUCAAUGGGCGCGAGCCUGAACCAGCCAAGUAGCGUGAAGGAUGACUGCUCUACGGGUUGUAAACUUCUUUUAUAAAGGAAUAAAGUGAGGCACGUGUGCCUUUUUGUAUGUACUUUAUGCAUAAGGAUCGGCUAACUACGUGCCAGCAGCCGCGGUAAUACGGAGGAUCCGAGCGUUAUCCGGCUUUAUUGGGGUUAAAGGGAGCUGAGAUGGGUUUUUAAGUCAGUUGUGAAAGUUUGCGGCUCAACCGUAAAAUUGCAAUUGAUACUGGCAGCCUUGAGUAGAUUUGAGGUAGGCGGAAUGCGUGGUGUAGCGGUGAAAUGCUUAGAUAUCACGAAGAACUCCGAUUGCGAAGGCAGUUCACUGGACUGCAACUGACACUGAGGCUCGAAAGUGUGGGUAUCAAACAGGAUUAGAUACCCUAGUAGUC